AUGCCUCUGCCGCGAUUCCGAUUUGUGAUAGAUCCUCUCUAUAUCGUUCUUCUUCAUCAUUCUGUCUCUCCAAAUCGCAGCGCUGAUUCACGAGAAUUGAUGAAGAUUGGCUUUGCGAUGAAGAUUGAUACGAUGGUGAUGCUGAGGAUAUUUUCAAAGAAUGAAGAAGGAUCAGAUCGGUUCUCAUUGAAGCUUGCAAGGGCCGGUUUAGUUUUGUUUGGAAAUGGUUUUGAAUUGGCUUGGUUGUGA